AUUGAACGCUGGCGGCAGGCCUAACACAUGCAAGUCGAGCGGAUGAAGGGAGCUUGCUCCUGGAUUCAGCGGCGGACGGGUGAGUAAUGCCUAGGAAUCUGCCUGGUAGUGGGGGAUAACGUCCGGAAACGGGCGCUAAUACCGCAUACGUCCUGAGGGAGAAAGUGGGGGAUCUUCGGACCUCACGCUAUCCGAUGAGCCUAGGUCGGAUUAGCUAGUUGGUGGGGUAAAGGCCUACCAAGGCGACGAUCCGUAACUGGUCUGAGAGGAUGAUCAGUCACACUGGAACUGAGACACGGUCCAGACUCCUACGGGAGGCAGCAGUGGGGAAUAUUGGACAAUGGGCGAAAGCCUGAUCCAGCCAUGCCGCGUGUGAAGAAGGUCUUCGGAUUGUAAAGCACUUUAAGUUGGGAGGAAGGGCAGUAAGUUAAUACCUUGCUGUUUUGACGUUACCAACAGAAUAAGCACCGGCUAACUUCGUG
rnacentral:rRNA from 1 species